AUCACUUCUCAGCCUUUCAGCUGAGAUCAAGUGUCGUAUUUGGUCUCAGUUUAAUAUGACACGUCCUCUAUCUGAGGACAAUGUAUUAAAUGGAUUUUUGGAGCCAGGAGAUGGAAUGGGAGUUUGCUCUGUCCACUCCGCACAUUGACCCAGUAUUGCAGUACUUCUGGGAAUGGCCCCCCA